rnacentral:misc_RNA from 1 species
GGGUGGGACCCCUUUCGGGGUCCUGCUCAACUUCCUGUCGAGCUAAUGCCAUUUUUAAUGUCUUUAGCGAGACGCUACCAUGGCUAUCGCUGUAGGUAGCCGGAAUUCCAUUCCUAGGAGGUUUGACCUGUGCGAGCUUUUAGUACCCUUGAUAGGGAGAACGAGACCUUCGUCCCCUCCGUUCGCGUUUACGCGGACGGUGAGACUGAAGAUAACUCAUUCUCUUUAAAAUAUCGUUCGAACUGGACUCCCGGUCGUUUUAACUCGACUGGGGCCAAAACGAAACAGUGGCACUACCCCUCUCCGUAUUCACGGGGGGCGUUAAGUGUCACAUCGAUAGAUCAAGGUGCCUACAAGCGAAGUGGGUCAUCGUGGGGUCGCCCGUACGAGGAGAAAGCCGGUUUCGGCUUCUCCCUCGACGCACGCUCCUGCUACAGCCUCUUCCCUGUAAGCCAAAACUUGACUUACAUCGAAGUGCCGCAGAACGUUGCGAACCGGGCGUCGACCGAAGUCCUGCAAAAGGUCACCCAGGGUAAUUUUAACCUUGGUGUUGCUUUAGCAGAGGCCAGGUCGACAGCCUCACAACUCGCGACGCAAACCAUUGCGCUCGUGAAGGCGUACACUGCCGCUCGUCGCGGUAAUUGGCGCCAGGCGCUCCGCUACCUUGCCCUAAACGAAGAUCGAAAGUUUCGAUCAAAACACGUGGCCGGCAGGUGGUUGGAGUUGCAGUUCGGUUGGUUACCACUAAUGAGUGAUAUCCAGGGUGCAUAUGAGAUGCUUACGAAGGUUCACCUUCAAGAGUUUCUUCCUAUGAGAGCCGUACGUCAGGUCGGUACUAACAUCAAGUUAGAUGGCCGUCUGUCGUAUCCAGCUGCAAACUUCCAGACAACGUGCAACAUAUCGCGACGUAUCGUGAUAUGGUUUUACAUAAACGAUGCACGUUUGGCAUGGUUGUCGUCUCUAGGUAUCUUGAACCCACUAGGUAUAGUGUGGGAAAAGGUGCCUUUCUCAUUCGUUGUCGACUGGCUCCUACCUGUAGGUAACAUGCUCGAGGGCCUUACGGCCCCCGUGGGAUGCUCCUACAUGUCAGGAACAGUUACUGACGUAAUAACGGGUGAGUCCAUCAUAAGCGUUGACGCUCCCUACGGGUGGACUGUGGAGAGACAGGGCACUGCUAAGGCCCAAAUCUCAGCCAUGCAUCGAGGGGUACAAUCCGUAUGGCCAACAACUGGCGCGUACGUAAAGUCUCCUUUCUCGAUGGUCCAUACCUUAGAUGCGUUAGCAUUAAUCAGGCAACGGCUCUCUAGAUAGAGCCCUCAACCGGAGUUUGAAGCAUGGCUUCUAACUUUACUCAGUUCGUUCUCGUCGACAAUGGCGGAACUGGCGACGUGACUGUCGCCCCAAGCAACUUCGCUAACGGGGUCGCUGAAUGGAUCAGCUCUAACUCGCGUUCACAGGCUUACAAAGUAACCUGUAGCGUUCGUCAGAGCUCUGCGCAGAAUCGCAAAUACACCAUCAAAGUCGAGGUGCCUAAAGUGGCAACCCAGACUGUUGGUGGUGUAGAGCUUCCUGUAGCCGCAUGGCGUUCGUACUUAAAUAUGGAACUAACCAUUCCAAUUUUCGCUACGAAUUCCGACUGCGAGCUUAUUGUUAAGGCAAUGCAAGGUCUCCUAAAAGAUGGAAACCCGAUUCCCUCAGCAAUCGCAGCAAACUCCGGCAUCUACUAAUAGACGCCGGCCAUUCAAACAUGAGGAUUACCCAUGUCGAAGACAACAAAGAAGUUCAACUCUUUAUGUAUUGAUCUUCCUCGCGAUCUUUCUCUCGAAAUUUACCAAUCAAUUGCUUCUGUCGCUACUGGAAGCGGUGAUCCGCACAGUGACGACUUUACAGCAAUUGCUUACUUAAGGGACGAAUUGCUCACAAAGCAUCCGACCUUAGGUUCUGGUAAUGACGAGGCGACCCGUCGUACCUUAGCUAUCGCUAAGCUACGGGAGGCGAAUGGUGAUCGCGGUCAGAUAAAUAGAGAAGGUUUCUUACAUGACAAAUCCUUGUCAUGGGAUCCGGAUGUUUUACAAACCAGCAUCCGUAGCCUUAUUGGCAACCUCCUCUCUGGCUACCGAUCGUCGUUGUUUGGGCAAUGCACGUUCUCCAACGGUGCUCCUAUGGGGCACAAGUUGCAGGAUGCAGCGCCUUACAAGAAGUUCGCUGAACAAGCAACCGUUACCCCCCGCGCUCUGAGAGCGGCUCUAUUGGUCCGAGACCAAUGUGCGCCGUGGAUCAGACACGCGGUCCGCUAUAACGAGUCAUAUGAAUUUAGGCUCGUUGUAGGGAACGGAGUGUUUACAGUUCCGAAGAAUAAUAAAAUAGAUCGGGCUGCCUGUAAGGAGCCUGAUAUGAAUAUGUACCUCCAGAAAGGGGUCGGUGCUUUCAUCAGACGCCGGCUCAAAUCCGUUGGUAUAGACCUGAAUGAUCAAUCGAUCAACCAGCGUCUGGCUCAGCAGGGCAGCGUAGAUGGUUCGCUUGCGACGAUAGACUUAUCGUCUGCAUCCGAUUCCAUCUCCGAUCGCCUGGUGUGGAGUUUUCUCCCACCAGAGCUAUAUUCAUAUCUCGAUCGUAUCCGCUCACACUACGGAAUCGUAGAUGGCGAGACGAUACGAUGGGAACUAUUUUCCACAAUGGGAAAUGGGUUCACAUUUGAGCUAGAGUCCAUGAUAUUCUGGGCAAUAGUCAAAGCGACCCAAAUCCAUUUUGGUAACGCCGGAACCAUAGGCAUCUACGGGGACGAUAUUAUAUGUCCCAGUGAGAUUGCACCCCGUGUGCUAGAGGCACUUGCCUACUACGGUUUUAAACCGAAUCUUCGUAAAACGUUCGUGUCCGGGCUCUUUCGCGAGAGCUGCGGCGCGCACUUUUACCGUGGUGUCGAUGUCAAACCGUUUUACAUCAAGAAACCUGUUGACAAUCUCUUCGCCCUGAUGCUGAUAUUAAAUCGGCUACGGGGUUGGGGAGUUGUCGGAGGUAUGUCAGAUCCACGCCUCUAUAAGGUGUGGGUACGGCUCUCCUCCCAGGUGCCUUCGAUGUUCUUCGGUGGGACGGACCUCGCUGCCGACUACUACGUAGUCAGCCCGCCUACGGCAGUCUCGGUAUACACCAAGACUCCGUACGGGCGGCUGCUCGCGGAUACCCGUACCUCGGGUUUCCGUCUUGCUCGUAUCGCUCGAGAACGCAAGUUCUUCAGCGAAAAGCACGACAGUGGUCGCUACAUAGCGUGGUUCCAUACUGGAGGUGAAAUCACCGACAGCAUGAAGUCCGCCGGCGUGCGCGUUAUACGCACUUCGGAGUGGCUAACGCCGGUUCCCACAUUCCCUCAGGAGUGUGGGCCAGCGAGCUCUCCUCGGUAGCUGACCGAGGGACCCCCGUAAACGGGGUGGGUGUGCUCGAAAGAGCACGGGUGCGAAAGCGGUCCGGCUCCACCGAAAGGUGGGCGGGCUUCGGCCCAGGGACCUCCCCCUAAAGAGAGGACCCGGGAUUCUCCCGAUUUGGUAACUAGCUGCUUGGCUAGUUACCACCCA